GGGAGGAUUCAUGGGGGAGCUAGCCCGACCUGAAGUAUGUACUGAAUGUCGUCUCACUGCCCACAGAGGGUGUAAGGCCCGUAAGGUCGGCGUUUAGCGUCGCCCGUUGGUUCCUCUCGAGAGUCGGGUUGCUUGAAAAUGCAGCCCUAAGCAGGUGGUAAACUCCAUCUAAGGCUAAAUAUUCCCACGAGACCGAUAGCUUACAAGUACCGCGAGGGAAAGUUGAAAAGAACUCUGAAGAGAGAGUUCAAGAGAGCGUGAAACUACCACGAGGAUAAAGCGAGUGAGCGUUCGUAACCGAACGGCUGGACUCAGCCUGCCCCGGACGAAACGCGGCGGAGGGUCGCAAAACGAAAUUAACGGAUCUCCCGGGAUUCUUUUCGGAUAUUUUCCGAGUUUUCCGGGUUGACCGGCGUUUCCUCUCGCGCGCUCGGAAGGGGGAUGCACUUCUGGCCGAAGUAGGACGUCGCGGCCGUUCGAGGGGCGUCGAAGACACGGGGGUCUGGGAAACCGCCUCUUCUCGUCCCGGAGCGAUCUCGGUCGUUUCCGGAUCGCGCGUUGAGCGGGGCCGCCCCGUUGAUCUGACGGCCUCU
rnacentral:rRNA from 1 species